CGCCGCCACAUCUCUGGUGUUGUUCUUAUCCCUCGCCAUGUCACCGUACAAGGAGCAGCAGUUCCGUCGUAUCAUCCCAACCAAAUACUUCUUUGCCCGCUCGUCGUUUGCGAUGGCGAUGCUGUCUUUUCUGGUGGCGUUCACCUGCAACAUCUACCUACAGAUAUAUGGCUGGCAGAAGGCGAAGUCGAAGGACUUGAUUCCAUUCGUAUUGGAGCUCACCGUCUUCCCCGUCAUCUGUUCCCUGGUGUUGUUCUUUCGUGGCUCCGAUUUCGGUCUAUCUUUCCUUGUUCGUCUUUGGGGUUGAGUCAACAAGCAUGAUCGUCCACAUCUUUGGAAUCUGCAGCUUCAUGAUGCACGUGGGUUCUACCUAUUGCGGGUAUGCCACCUGUUCUAGUGGUGUGUGGUGGUGGUAGUCAUUGGACAGUUAAUAACUUGUGUGUACAAGCAGCGACAAAGGCUUGUGAUGUAUGGACGCUAGUUGAUUGCAACUUUAAUGUGUUCUUUUCUUCUAUCUUAAAUUAGAUGAUGAUAUAGGCGCAGCGGUAGACAACAGAUCCGAUCACCAAUAAUGGUGAUGUCCCUCUCUAUUGUUUUUGACGAAGUCAAUAUGACAUAACUGUUGACCGGAUCUUACCCUGUAUUGUCAUGUAAAUGUCACAUGUCGAGUGACAGAUUUCCCCUAUCGUAUGGACGUCCUUUGGUUUUCCCAGAGGUCGGCUAGAACAUAGGCUCGAGUCUUUUUGAAUAUUCUGUGACAAAUCACAUAGUCCAUAUCGUAAAGUUUUGGCCCACCAAAGUUUGCACAGGCAAACGAAAUGAUUGGCUUAUAGAAGCCAAUCAUUCAAUAAGUGAAGGACAUCAAUUUUGGAUUAAAAAAAUAUCAACAAAAUACAAAUCACCUUUAUAGAAAGGAAAGAAAACUCUCCGUGGAGAGCUUUAUUGCACUCCUUCCCAUCCAUCAUCUAUGGAGUCAAAUAAGAAAGAUUCAAGAGAAGAUAGGAAUGGUCCGAGUGAAGAAGACAAACUAACGAGCAGCAAUGCUCGUCUAUUCCAAAGACCUGCCACGAGAAUAAUACAGCGAGAAAAAAAGAAAGAAAAGGAAGAAGCUUAUUUAUGAGGUGCGAAAGGUGAUGGACAUCCGAUUCACGCCGUUGCAGCUGAUGGUUACCAUCCUCUUCCGAAGCCAACUUGUGCUCGGCUCCUUUGAUUCCUUGCUCGCCCUUUCCCAAUUACUUUUUACAUAAAAUUAAUAUAUUUUAUGUAAAAAUAUAUUAAAUUUUAUAAAAUAUAUUCUAAAUUAUUCAAAAUAUAUUAUUACACUCUCAUUCAAAGAACGUGUUAAAAAAAAUAUUUUUUUUUAUAAAAUUAUCCUAAAUUCAUCAUAAAACUAAUCAUAAAAUUCUACAUCUCUUAUUUUCUAUUUCUUAUAUUGACUUAGUUAUGUUCAAAAUUAAAAUAAAUUAAAUUCGAUUACCUAACCUAUUUUAAUAUUAAUAUUUUUUUUACUUUUAGAUAUAUCUAGAAUAAUUAAUUAUCAAAACUUUGAGAAUUCUACUAUAAUUUGAUUCUAACAAAAUUAUAAUAAAUUUAUAUAAAAAUUAAUAUAUCUUAGUAAAUUCGAGUGUAACUUGGAUGUAAGAGAUUUGGCUUAACUUGAUUCUACUGGAUUCGAAGGGAUCCGACCCAAAUCGAUCUAAUUCAGAUCGAAUCAACCUGCUAAUCAGUCAGGUUUAAAAUAGUCUAUUUCAAAAGUAUUAUCAAAAUUUUUAAAGAAAAUCACCUUUUGUAUGAGCUUUUAUCUUUAUACAUACAAAGUAUCCUAUUAAACAUGAGGUAUUACAAAAAAAAAAAAAAAAUCCCUCUCCAAAGACCUCCUGUCAUGUCAACUCUAGUAAAAUCCCUAUUAACUAGAGAAAGAAGUUCUUCGUUUAUACUAUAGUCGAGACUGCAACCGAUUCAUUGUUAUUUACUCAUUUUCUUUUGGUUCGUUUUCAUGUCAGUGUCAAGCUAUAUGAUAGGUAAACAAGUGUUUGGUACCCUGUCUCCGUUCCACCAUGCGCUGACGUUAUCAGAUUCCCUUUCGCUGAUCUAUAUAUCUUAUUGUCAGAAGACGUGAGACUGAAAGUGAUAUGUUGGAGGAAAGUAUUGAUUAUAUUUCUAUUUAUUAUUGGUUGACCGAUGGAGAUGGUUACUUUACUUGGGAUGUCAUGUUGAGGUAAUUAAAUCAUGCCAACGCAGAUUCGAAUAAUAAAAUUCCUUUAGCUUGUCAUUAAGCAAAAGACACCCACUCGAAGAUAACGUGAUUUGGAGCUACAAAUGAUAACACUGAGAGCAAAAGAUUCAAUAAAGAGAUGUUGCCAUAAUCCCGGGUGCAUAAAAAGAAUCGGAGACCAACCAAAGGGUCAUCAACUCCAAAGACUUGCGAUGAGUAUGAUCUACAAAACCUUUUCUAUAAGGUGCAAGUUGAAUGAUCGGUGGAGACCCACAAGUAGAGGUUUGGGUGCAAGCUUCCGGAUUAUUGUUUCCUGUAGAGCAAGAAUCGUUGACCCACAAGUUAAAGCUACUGUCUAGCUUUAACGUAUGUGAAUUAUUCAUUAGUAGGUUGGCCUCUGUAACAUACGAUUAAUUUGUUGUCGAAUCUUUUGUGACUGAGAUGAAAACGGAGACCAACCAAUGGGUUCUCAACUCCGAAGACUUGCGAUGAGUAUGACCUACAAAAACCAAGGGGGAAGGAGGUGUACGACGAUGGAUGAGAGCCAAAAGGAUCAGCUAGUCUGCUUGUUAAGGCAGGCAUUCAGGUUGCUUUAGUUUCGCAGUAGAAAUCUGGAGGCGAAGGCGUACGCACCAUAUAGCAACUGCAUGCUAUGGGGGAUCCCGCCGCUCUUGCCAAUACGGAUUCCAUUCACGACGGCACAGAGGAUGCUGAUCCACUGCAUGUUCUCAACAGGAGACAUUUUCUCACGGUGAAGUCUCAUUUCCGUCGGAAGAGGCACGAGGCACUCUUGGUUCUAGCCGUGGAAGAUCCUGGUCGCCCGGUGAACCUCAUGAACGACACUUUGCUCCACGUCGUCAUAGCUUGCAACAAGACCGACCUCGCCAGAAGUAUUAUCUUGCAGAUGCCAGUGGAGACCCUCGCGGCCAAGAAUUUGUACGGCGACACGGCUCUUCAUGUCGCUGCCGCCAUGGGUAACAGCGAGGUGGCCAGGGAGCUGUUCGGCAGGAACGAAGAUCUCAUCGAAGAACAGAACUUGAAGCAGGAGACACCACUGCACAAAGCGGCGUUCUACGGGCAUCAUGACAUGUUCUGGUGCCUGGUUAACGAGGGGAAUGGCUCCCCGUACGAGCGGAGGGAGGACGGCGCCACCAUGCUGCACUGUGCCAUCAUGGGCAACGAGCCGGGUAAGCGGUCAUCACCAGUUUCGUUGGCCAGCUGCCUUUAUCUUGUUUUUAUCCUAUUUAUUUGAAUUUUUAUAUGUGGAUCAUACUGCUUCCGCAUCUUUGGCGUGAUCAAGGUGAGUGAGUCGAUGCAGGGCUGGCACUGGAGAUUGCAGAGCGUUUUCCAUUGCUGAUCACGUCGAGGAAUACUAUGGCGGUAACCCCAUUGCAGCUGAUGGUGACCGUUCCGGGGUUAUUCCGAAGCCAAAUGGUAAUUGGCGGCUUCGAGUCCAUCCUCCAUGACUGUAAGUGCUGCCCCGCCUCUUCCUUCAACGCCCCCAGCGCCCCGCCCUCCCCCCUGCUUCUCUAUUUAUUGCACUACAUUUCCUACCAACGACUACCUUAAUUUAGCGAUCGUUCGACGUCCAAAUCUAUUGAGAAUUUACCAAGGGGUGUUUUUUUCUCAUUAUCGGAACACAUAUACCCUUGCUUAUUUGGAUUUAUUAUAUGGUUUUGUGUUAAACGCAUCAAAUCUAAUCGGUUGAGUCUGGUUUGCUCUCUGUUCUUUGUUCUUUCACGUCUCCUCCUCCUACCCUCAAUUCACCCUUUGUUUGUCACCCUUUCACCCUUAUUCUUUCUUCUUCAAGGAGGAGGAGCAGAGGAGGAGGAGGAGAGGAAGCGACACAAGGUUGACUGGUUCAUUGAACCGGUUCACUGAUCCAAACUGUUUCAGUGAAUCAUUUCAAAAAGUUCGAAAUGUAAUUAAAUUGGAAUAGGAGGAUAAAGUUAGAAUUUACCAAAAAAACAUUCCUAAAUAAUUUCUGAAUAUAUAUAUAUAUAUAUAUAUAUAUAUAUAUAAUAAUACNNNNNNNNNNNNNNNNNNNNUAUAUAUAUAUAUAUAUAUAUAUAUAUAUAUAUAAAAUCUGAUGUAACGGGAUAAUUGACUUAUUAACUUCACUAAACUUGGAUCAUUGAUCUGAAUAAUUAAGUUUAAAUUAAUAAUAAUACACUUAUCAAAUCUCUAUAAAUUAAUCUUAGUAUUUGUCUAGUUUUAAUUUUCGAUGUGAAGUAAAAUUAUAAUUGUUCUCAGAAAAAUAUAGUUAUGAUGACAAUUAAACAUCAAGUAUUUUGAUACCAACGUACAUGCUCCUAAAAGUUUGAUUUUAUAUUUCAGUAAUUCCUUUGGAGAAGGACUCACACAGGACACGUCAAAGAGAUGAAGAGGAGGCAUCUGAAAGCUCCAACGAUGCCGGUGUAUGUGCUUCAAAUCAUCAACAUCUUUUCCAUCACAAUAUCAAUAGUCCACUAUUGUCUCUCUGAUUUGUUUCUCACUUUGGCGUCUACAUAUAUAUAAUCUCAAGCAAGCUGAAGCCACAGAGCAAGAUGACCACGAAUAUUUCGGGAGGCAGAGAACAAUUCGUUCGAGAUUUCCAUCUUGCUGCUGUACUCUCGUUGACAAAUUAGUCAUCCCAGGCACUCCUACUAGCUUCUCUGUCUACAAUUUUUGUAGUCAUCCAUGUUCUGUUUCAUUACGCUGAUGUAUUCCUUUUUGUGCUUGCAGUCAAAUGGGUUCGUCUGUUUCUUUUCAUCAUUAUAAGGACUUGUGAGUAACUGUUCCCAAACAGUACAUUGAUGAUAUUAAGAGCCAUGUCCUACUGUUUCAUUACGAGUUCUAGCAAAUUAGGAAAGUACUAUAGAAAAGGCUUCUUGUAAUUUAGUUCUCCAAAACCAAGUAGUUUACAUGAUGGAUAAUUAUAGCUUAUUUGCGGAAAAACAUAAAUGGGACGAUUAUGUCGCUGACUUCUUCUGAUGUUAAUUUGGAGAUGCAAUGCGUUAUGCAGUGUACCCUCGAACCCGACAUCUGGAGAAGAUUAAGAGAACCCAUAGAAAAGCCUUGGAACUCAUCGAAUUUUUAGCCCGCGACCCGAGAAACAUGGAGUUCUACGUGCUGGGAAGAAAACAAGGUGACGGCGGUGCUCCUGCGGCAGACCUUCGAGAAAGAGGUGAGGGACAAGAUCAACUUACCGCACCGGCUGAGUCAUACAGAAGAUGGAACGAGCCACCCUUGAUCUUGGGUGCACAAAUGGGCAUUCCCGAGUUCGUCAGGACGAUCUUACAAGUGUGUCCGGAGGCAGCUACGUAUCUGGACACCCAAGGUCGAAGCGUUCUCCAAGUAGCAAUACGGCAUGGUAACCGAGAUAUUGUGAGAACUAUACGUGAGAUGACUCGAGGGAAGAAUCCCAUACUACCAUUCUGGCUACUGUCUCGCGUCGACAAAGGGACCGGAAGAACCAUCCUGCACUUGGCUUCGGCAACUGCCCCCGAGCAUAACCAAGAUGCUCUACAAAUGCAAGAUGAAUUAAGAUGGUUUGAGGUCAAGUCCCUAACUACAUUAACUACAAAUAAAAUCUUUACAUUCUCGGAGUUGCCUACUAAAUUUGAUCGUUUUCUGACAUUUUUAUGCAGACGGUGAGAGAUAUGGUUCCUAAGGAAUUAGUGUACAGUAGAAACGCGGAAGAGACGACCGCAGAAGAGAUGUUUACUGAGAGUCACAAAGAUUUGCUCAAGAGUUGCAAGGUUCAACUAAUGGAAACGGGCAGACUGUGUUCCGGGCUGGUCGCAGCUGUAGUGUUCGCGUCAAGCUUCUCAGUCCCCGGCGAUAAGGACCCAACCACCGGCAACCCGGUUUACUUCGGUAGGGCAGCUUUUACGGUCUUCUCACACACGUACGUGUUUGGGCUUUCAUGCGCCGCGACAUCUCUGGUGUUGUUCUUAUCCCUCGCCAUGUCACCUUACAAGGAACAGCAGUUCCGUCGUAUCAUCCCAAUCAAAUACUUCUUUGCCCGCUCGUCGUUUGGGUUGGCGAUGCUGUCUUUUCUGGUGGCGUUCACCUGCAACAUCUACCUACAGAUAUAUGGCUGGCAGAAGACGAAGUCGAAGGACUUGAUUCCAUUCAUAUUGGAGCUCACCGCCUUCCCUUUCAUCUGUUUCCUGGUGUUAUUCUUUUAUGGCUCCAAGUUCGGUCUAUCUUUUCUUUUUCAUUCUUGGCGUUGAGUCAACAAGCAUGAUCGUCCACACGAAUCUGGCAGGUUCAUGAUGUACGUGGGUUGUACCUAUUACGGUAUGUCGCCUGUUCCAGUGGUAUGCGGUGGUAGAAGUCAUUGGACAGUUAAAUAUCUUGUGUGUACAAGCAGCAACAAAGGCAUGUUAUAUGUGGCCGCUAUUUGAUUGUAACUUUAAUGUGGUCUUUUCUUCUAUCUUAAAUUAGAUAAUGAUAUAGGCGCCACGGUAGACAACAAAUCUGAUCACCAAUAAUGGUGAUGGCCCAUCAAUACUGAAUAAUGGUGAUGGCCCUGCCUAUUGUUUUUGGACUAAUGUCCAUAUGACAUAGCUGUUGAUGGGAUCUUAUCCUCUCACCGUUGACUGUAUUGUCAUGUAAGAUAUGCAUGGACGUCCUUUCGUUUUCCCAGAGAUCGGCUAGAAGAUAGGAUCGAGUCUUAUUGAAUCUUCUGUGACAAUCAAGUAGUCUUUAUCGUACAAUUUUGGCCCACCAAAGUUUGCACAGGCAAACGAAAUGAUUGGCUUAUAGAAGCCGAUCGUUCAAGAAGUGAAGGACGUCAAUUUUGGAUUGAAAAAAGAUCAUUUAGCUUUUCAAAAAAGAAAAAGAAUAACCUUUAUAAAAUGGAUAGAAAACUCUCCGUGGAGGCCUUUACACCGCUCCUUAGCAGCAUCCAUGGACUGGAGUCAAUAAGAAACAUUUAAGAAAAGAUAGAAACAGACGUAUCGUUGUCCAAAGAGUGAAGAAGACAAACUAACCACAAGCAAUGCUCGUCUAUUUUAAUGACCUGUCACAAGUCUAAUACAGCCACAAAACAUUAAAAAAAAGGAAGAAGCUUGUUUAUGAGGUGCCAAAGGUUAUGGACAUCUAUCUGAUUCACGCACGGAAUGGUCACCAUCCCCGAGCACCUCUUUCGAAGCCAAUUGUUUGGUCGGCACCUUUGAUUCCUUUCUCUGUAUCUGUCCAAGUGCUGCUCGCCCUUUCUCAAGUACUUUCUAAUCCUCUAUCCAUCUCUCCAUUUUUAUUUUUCUACUUUUACUGUUAUAAUAAGUUUUUUAAAUUAUUUUUAUUACAUUAAAUUACAUAUAAGACAUCCUUAUAUAAACAUAUCAUUAUAUUGCCACGACUAUAUAGACGCUUAUUCUAUAUACAAACUAGAAAUAGACAAAAGGAUACCAAUAAAAUAAAGAGACACCGCAAUAAGAAUCGGAUUUGGUAAAGUAUUUUCCUCAAACGAGCUUGGAGGAUCGGAUAAGAGUUUUGUAAAGAGACCACUGCUCCUGAAAUGAAAACCAAUCGUCGUGCUUUCAAUUAAUAAAACCAAUCAUGCAUACCGUUUUCUAAAGUGUUCAAUGAGGAGACAACAUAAGUAAUUGUCAGUUCACGCAUAUUACUUACCGUACGCAGAAGGAGGCGUAGGUACGUCGGUCGAUGGUCACUUGAUCUCCUUCCUGGCCAUCAUAUAAAGGGAGGCCUUCAGGUGCUCAUCUAAGACCACCAAGGGUACGUGAAGGUUGAAGACGUAGCCAUGGAUCCUUCGGGAAGCCAUUCGGCCCUCGCAACAGAUAACAGUGAUGACGAGAAUAGACGACCUAGCGUCUUCGACGUGGAUCACUUUUGCACCGUGACGUCUCUGAUUCAGCAGGAGAAGUACGAGGAUCUAUUACCCCUAGCCAUGAAGAAGGAUCCUCCACUCAACCUCAUGGAGGACCCUGUGCUCAACGUCGUCAUCGAAUACAAGAAGACCGACCUCGCCAAACGGCAGAUUCAAAACAUGCCCGCGGAGAAGAAGCCCGCGGAGAAGCCCGGACCGCUGUGGUACGCUAAUUACCACGGCGACACGGCUCUCCAUGUCGCGGCCACCGUGGGUGACCUCGACGUGGCCAAGGCGUUGGUCUGGAAGAACUCAGAACUCAGAACUCGUCAGUGCACGCAACUGGAAGAACGAGACACCGCUGCACAAAGCGGCGCUGUACGGGCACGAGACGAUGUUCUGGGACCUGGUGGAAAUGGGGUCGCACGCCCCGGACGAGCGGAGGGAGGACGGCGCCACCGUGCUGCACUGUGCCAUCAUGGGCAGCGCGCCGGGUGAGUUGUAAUCAAUUCCAGGAAGCCAUAGUCAUAUAUAGCUCCUUUCUUGUUUUCCAAAAAUAUGUUUACAUAGUUGAAUUGUAAUGUAGCUUUAGCACUGAAGAUUGCCAAGACAUAUCCACCGCUGAUCACGUCGCGGAAUGAUGAUGCGGUGACUCCGAUGCAGCUGACGGUGACAAUUCCAGGGUUAUUCCGAAGCCUAACGAAUCUUGGGCCCUUAGAGGCCGUAAUUUAUAAGCGUGAGUCGUAAUGUAAUUUCUAGGAUUUACAUCACCAUAAAACAUUCACAGCAUGUAGUUAUGGUAACUAAGGCUUUGUUACAUCAAAUAAAAGCACACCAAUAUGCAUGCUAGCUCUUGAAACUUCAUGGCUGUAUACUUUGAUUGCAAUGUUGCAGUGAUUCCAUACGAAGACUCCAGCGAGCCACGUGCAGUAGAUGAAGAGACAACCAGGGUCUCGAGCGCUGUUGAAGUAUGUGCUUCCGGAUGAAUCAUUUUGUUUUGCAUGAUGGCAUUGAUAUAGUUCAUGAGGUCGAUAGCAUCUUUUCUACUACUUGUCAAUAAUAUUUAUCACAAAAUUUAAGAGCAGUUUUUUCCUCAAACUAGACAAUAUAAAGUUUGAUCUACCAUGUGUUAGAAAUUUUUGUAAUAUCAGUCGAAGUCAUUCUGGUUAGGGUUAACGAAUUACCCUUUUAGGAUAUUUCUAUUCAUCUCACACAUAUGAAUAUGGGUUUUGAAAGUCUUUCACAUAUUCACAAAGGUUUAAACUUAAUACAUGUAACUCAAUUUUUAAGUCUUUCUCUUCUUUGAAGGGUUCAAACUUUGAGUUCAUAUAUUUUUUAACUUUACGAUACGGUUCACAUAUCUACAUCUAUCCAAUGGUACGACUCAUCUACAUUCAGUGGCUGGAAUAUUAUGUAAUUUUUUUUUAGAAACGAUAAGUUUGAGCCAUAUUCUAGUUAGGGUUAAUGUAUAUUAGGUCAUACGUCAUACAUCAAUUGAAUCUAGAAACUUUGAUUAUUAUAUUAUCAAUCAAAUUUAGUAUAUGUAACUAGACUCUUUCAAUUAUUAGUAACAUGAGACUAUCCUCUUAGAAUAUUUCUUUUCAUCUCAUAUAUGAUUUGUCCCUGCACGAGUAUUAUUUCCUUGUAUUGUCUCUGACGUUGGCGUCUACAUGUACUUAAUAAGGGAGGUGCAAAAUAUAUCAAGCGAAAGGUUGUGUCUCUUCUGCCCCCCAAAACGUUUCGUUCGAAAUUCCCAUCUCACUACAGCAGUCUCUUUGACCUGCGGGAAUUGAUGUUCAUCCCAGGUACUCACUCCUACGAGCUUCUCUAUUUACAUUUCUUACCUGGAUCUUAUUGUUGGAUCACAGUACUACACUGAUUCGUGCUUCUGUUGAUGCAGCCAGAUGGGUUCAUUUGUUGCUUUUCCGCAUUCUAAAGCAAUGUAAGUCAUUGUUCGUGGAUGGAUGCAUGAUGUUUAGACAUGUUGUCCUUUUCCAAUUAAUGUUAGUGGAAUUGCAAUGCAUCAUGCAGUGUUCCCUAUGAUCGAACGUCUGGAGAAGCAAAAGAAAACCCACAAGGAAACCUUGGAACUGAUCGAGUUCUUAGCCUAUUAUCCUAGGCACAUGGAGUUCUAUUCCAAGGGAAGACGAAAAGGCAAGGAGGAAAGUCUUCUUGUUGGAGACAUCACCAGUUCUACAACAAGACAGUCUCCUCCGUCAACAGACGCUGGUGAAGGCCAAGGAGUAAAUGGAGGAGGGAACCGAGAUCAAGACUUUGAUAGGUUUGCGGAAAAGCUAUUUAUGUAUAUGUCGCACAAGGAUGCCAAUCACGAAGCAGUAGCAAAAGAGCUCAAGAAGAGCAUGAAGGAGUCGAUGGAGGAAGUGUCCGGUGAAUCCACAAUUAGAAGAUGGGACGAGCCGCCCCUGAUCUUGGGUGCACAAAUGGGUCUUCCUGAGUUCGUCAGGACGAUCUUGCUAGUAUGUUCGCAGGCAGCAGCAUACCUGGACACCAAGGGGAGAAGCGUUCUCCAAGUCGCAGUCAUGUAUCGUCGCGAGGAGAUUGUCAAGAUCAUAAUGGACAUGAGAAACAUUUUACCAUCCUGGUUAUUUUCCGAAAUCGAACCCAAAACCGGGAACACCAUCGUGCAUCUUGCUUCACGUGGAAGCCCUGAUGUAGCAAAGGAAGCGCAAGACGAACCGGAUGCAAUGCAACUGCAUUACGAUUUAGUAUGGUUUGAGGUAAAGUUGCUAAACUUUUUUGCCCCCCUCCUCAAAUUUUGACAUGCUUCUCAAAAGUAUUAUCCGUUCAAUUCUUUGACAUGCAUUCUUCGGUGUCGGUUGUGGGUUAUUCGCGCAUAAUACAAAAUAACCAACAAAUACACAAAUAAAAUCUACGUAUUCUCAGAGUUGCGUACUAAAUUUGAUCGUUUUCUGACAUUUGAAUGCAGACGGUGAGAGAUAUGGUUCCUAAGGAAUUAGUGUACAGUCGGAACGCGCAAACGAAGACCGCAGAAGAGAUGUUUACUGAGAGUCACCGAGCGAUGCUAAAGAGUUACAAGGGUCAACUAAUGGAAACGGGCAGGACGUGUUCAGGGCUUGUCGCUGCUGUAGUGUUCGCGUCGAGCUUCUCCAUCCCCGGCGAUAAGGACCCAGCGACCGGCAACCCGGUUUACUUCGGUAGGCCAGCUUUUAAGGUCUUCUCACAUGCGUACGUGAUUGGGUUGUCAUGCGCCGCCACAUCUCUGGUGUUGUUCUUAUCCCUCGCUAUGUCACCUUACAACGAGCAGCAGUUCCAUCGUAUCAUCCCAACCAAAUACUUCUUUGCCCGCUCGUCGUUUGCGAUGGCGAUGCUGUCUUUUCUGGUGGCGUUCACCUGCAACAUCUACCUACAGAUGUAUGGCUGGCAGAAGGCGAAGUCGAAGGACUUGAUUCCAUUCGUAUUGGAGCUCACCGUCUUCCCCGUCAUCUGUUUCCUGGUGUUGUUCUUUCGUGGCUCCGAUUUCGUCUUUGGGGUUGAGUCAACAAGCAUGAUCGUCCACAUCGUUGGAAUCUGCAGCUUCAUGAUGCACGUGGGUUGUACCUAUUACGGUAUGCCACCUGUUCUAGUGGUGUGUGGUGGUGGUAGUCAUUGGACAGUUAAUAACUUGUGUGUACGGGCAGCGACAAAGGCAUGUGGUGUAUAGACAACAGAGCUGGUCACCAAUAAUGGUGAUGGGCCUCUCUAUUGUUUUUGACGAAGUCAAUAUGACACAACUGUUGACCGGAUCUCACCCUGUAUUGUAAUGUAUACUGUCACAUGUCGAGCGACAGAUUUCCCCUAUCGCAUGCAAAUUGCAGUGAGAUGUAUGGACGUCCUUUUGGUUUCCCAGAGGUCGGCUAGAAGAUAGGCUCGAGUUUUAUUGAAUCUUCUGUGACAAAUCACAUAGUCUAUAUCGUAAAGUUCUGGCCCGCCAAAGUUUGCACAGGCAAACGAAAUGAUUGGCUUAUAGAAGCCAAUCAUUCAAGAAGCGAAGGACAUCAAUUUUGGAUUAAAAAAAUAUCAACAAAAAAAAAAUUCACCUUUGUAGAAAGGAAAGAAAACCCUCCUUCGCAUCAUCUAUGGAGUCGAAUAAGAAAGAUUUAAGAAAAGAUAGAAAUGAUCCGAGUGAAGAAGACAAAUUAACGAGCAGCAAUGCUCGUCUAUUCCAAAGACCUGCCACGAGAAUAAUACAGCGAGAAAAAAUGAAAAGAAAAGAAAAGAAAGAAGCUUAUUUAUGAGGUGCGAAAGGUUAUGGACAUCCGAUUCACACUGUUGUAGCCGAUGGUUACUAUCCUCCUCCGAAGCCAACUUGUGCUCGGCUACUUUGAUUCCUUUCUCUAUGACUGUCUCAAGUGCCGCUCGUCCUUUUCCAAUUACUUUUUAUAUAAAAUUAAUAUAUUUUAUAUAACAAAAGAGUAAUUUAUAUAUAUAAAAAAAUUAUUCUAAAUUAUUCAAAAUAUAUUAUUACACUAUCAUUCAAAGAAUGUGUUGCAUAUUAAUUUUUUUUAUAUAUAAAGAAUCCUAUUAAACAUGAGGUAUUACAAAAAAAAAAUAGCUCUCUCCAACAACCUCCUGUCAUGUCAACUUCUAGUAAAAUCCCUUUUAGCUUGAGAAAAGAAGUUCUUCGUUAAUACUAUAAUUGAGACUGCCACCGCAAGUAAAACCAGUGUUUGGUACCCUGUCUCCGUUCCACCAUGCGCUGACGUUAUCAGAUUCCCUUUCGCUGAUCUAUACAUCUUAUUGUCAUAAGACGUGAGACUGAAAGUGAUAUGUUGGAGGAAACUAUUAAUUAUAUUUCUAUUUAUUAUUGGUUGACCGAUGGAGAUGAUUACUUUACUUGAGAUGUCAUGUUGAGGUAAUUAAAUCAUGCCAACGCAGAUUCGAAUAAUAAAAUUCUAUUAGCUUGUCAUUAAGCAAAAGACACCCACUCGAAGAUAACUUGAUUUGGAGCUACAAAUGAUAACACUGAGAGCAAAAGAUUCAAUAAAGAGAUGUUGCCAUAAUCCCGGGUGCAUAAAAAGAAUCGGAGACCAACCAAAGGGUCGUCAACUCCAAAGACUUGCGAUGAGUAUGAUCUACAAAAACUUUUCUAUAAGGUGCAAGUUGAAUGAUCGGUGGAGACCCACAAGUAGAGCUUUGGGUGCAGGCUUCCGGAUUAUUGUUUCCUGUAGAGCAAGAAUCGUUGACCCACAAGUUAAAGCUGCUGUCUAGCUUUAACGUAUGUGAAUUAUUCAUUAGUAGGUUGGCCUCUGUAACAUACGAUUAAUUUGUUGUCGAAUCUUUUGUGAAUGAGAUGGAGGGUGCUUAAUUUGUUAGUGAAAGAAAAGUCAAUAAUGAGAAAAAGGGCAGAGAAGAAAACGCAAGAUGAAAGCUCAUCUGGAGAGUUCUUCAUGGCAGUGCCACUUUAAGAGGGGAGAUAGGUUGGAAGGGGUCCAAAGGGGAUCUGUACUAAACUUGGAACGGUUUAGCUGGUUUGAGCAAAGAAUCCGACGCCAUUUUCCGACACUAAGCGACGCCAAUCGACUGAAAAGGAGGGAGGCGUACGACGAUGGAUGAGAGCCAAAAGGAUAAGCUAAUCUGCUUGUUAAGGCAGGCCUUCAGGUUUCUUUAGUUUCGCAGUAGAAAUCAGGAGGCGAAGGCGUACGAACGAGUUGUACGCACCAUAUAGCAACUGCACCAUAUAUAUUUUUGGUCGGUGAGAACGUAGCGAAAGGAGCGGCUCCCUUCGGUGUGUUUUGGAUAUGACGGCUCCUUCCACCACCCAAAAGCUGACGCCUGCUGCAGAUGUAGGCACCGGAUCAGGGAGAAAAGUAGAGAAACAGCCGUCUGUACCCGGGAAAUCGCAGCCUGCACACGGCGCAGGUGGUGGUGGAUCAGAGGAGCCACCGCAUGCCCUGGACGUGGCACGCUUCCGCCGGCUGAACUCGCUCAUCCACCGUGAGAACGUGGACGCGAACAAACUCCUGCGUCUAGUGGAGCAGGAUAACCACGUGAACCUCAUGAACGACCCCUUGCUCAGCGUCGUCAUCGCCUGCAAGAAGCCCAAGCUCGCCUGCAGCCUCAUCGACAAAAUAUCAUCAAAUGACAUUCUCAAGGCCAGCAACUUAAACGGCGACACGGCGCUUCACGUAGCUGCCGCCAUGGACGACAAAGAAGUGGCCUCGAAGCUGAUCGACAGGGUGCCAGAUCUCGUUCAUAUGCAGAACGUGAAACAGGAGAUACCGCUACAUAAGGCGGCGCUGUACGGGCUGCUGGACAUGUUCUGGCUGCUGGUGGAAAAUAACAGCUCACCGAAAGCCCGGAGGGAGGACGGCGCCACCAUGCUGCACUGUGCCAUCAUGGGCAACGCGCCGGGUAAGCGAUCAUCACCAGUUUUGUUGGUCUGGCGCUGGCCAGCUGUCUUUCUCUUGUUUUUAUCCUAUUUUUUUGAAGUGUUGUAUGUGGAUCAUACUGCUUCCGCAUCUUUGGUGUGAUCAAGGUGAGUGAGUCGACGCAGGGCUUGCACUGGAGAUUGCAAAGCGUUUUCCAUUGCUGAUCACAUCGCGGAAUACUAUGGCGGUAACCCCGUUGCAGCUGAUGGUGACCGUUCCGGGGUUAUUCCGAAGCCAAAUGGUAAUUGGCGGCUUCGAGUCCAUCCUCCAUGACUGUAAGUGCUGCCCCGCCUCUUCCUUCAACGCCCCCAGCGCCCCGCCCUCCCCCCUGCUUCUCUAUUUAUUGCACUACAUUUCCUACUAACGACUACCUUAAUUUAGCGAUCGUUCGACGUCCAAAUUUAUCGAGAAUUUACCAAGGGGUGUUUUGUUUCUCAUUAUCGGGACACAUAUACCCUUGAUUUUUUGGAUUUAUUAUAUGGUUUUGUGUUAAACCGAAUCAAAUCUAAUCGGUCGAAUCUGGUUUGCACUCUGUUCUUUUUUCUUUCACAUGUCUCCUCCUCCUUCCCUCGAUUCGCCCUUUUUGUUGUCACCCUUUCACCCUUAUUCUUUCUUCUUCAAGGAGGAGGAGGAGAGGAAGCGACACAAGGUUGACCGGUUCAUUGAACCGGUUCGCUCAUCGAAACUGUUUUUGUGAAUCAUUUCAAAAAGUUUGAAACGAAAUUAAUUGGAAUAGGAGGAUAAAGUUAGAAUUUACCAAAAAAAAAAACAUUCCUAAAUAAUUUCUGAAUAGAGGGGCGUGAUAGAAACCAAUUACUAAUAAUCUUUUAGGUGAAUUAUUAUUAUUAUUAUUAUUAUUAUUAUUAUUAUUAUUAUUAUUAUUAUUAUUAUUAUAUAUAAAUAUAAUAUGGUGUAACGGAAUUAUUGACUUAGUAACUUCACUGAACUUGGAUCGUUGAUCUGAAUAAUUAAGUUUAAAUUAAUAAUAAUACACUCAUCAAAUCUCUAUAAAUUAAUCUUAGAAUUUGUCUACUUUUAAUUUUCGAUGUGAAGUAAAAUUAUAAUUGUUCUCAGAAAAAUAUAGUUAUGAUGAAACUUAAACAUCAAGCAUUUUGAUACCAGUAGUGUACAUGCUCCUAAAAUUUUGAUUUUACAUUUCAGUUAUUCCUUUGGAGAAGGACUCAGACAGGACUCGUCGAAGAGAUGAAGAGGAGGCAAGUGGAAGCUCCAACGAUGCCGGUGUAUGUGAUUCAAAUCAUCAACAUCUUUUCCAUCACAAUAUCAAUAGUCCACUAUUGUCUCUCUGAUUUGUUUCUCUUUUUGGCGUCUACAUAUAUAUAAUCUCAAGCAAGCUGAGGGCACAGAACAAGAUGACCACGAAUAUUUCGGGAGGCAGAGAACAAUUCGUUCGAGAUUUCCAUCUUGCUGCUGUACUCUCGUUGACAUAUUAGUCAUCCCAGGCACUCCUACUAGCUUCUCUGUCUACAAUUUUUGUAGUCAUCCAUGUUCUGUUUCAUUACGCUGAUGUUUUCCUUUUUGUCCUUGCAGUCAAAUGGGUUCGUCUGUUUCUCUUCAUCAUUUUAAAGACCUGUGAGUAAUUGUUCCCAAACAGUACAUUGAUGAUAUUUAGAACCAUGUCCUACUGUUUCAUUACGAGUUUUAGCAAAUUAGGAAAGUACUAUAGAAAAGGCUUCUUGUAAUUUAGUUCUCCAAAACCAAGUAGUUUACAUGAUGGAUAAUUAUAGCUUAUUUGCGGAAAAACAUAGAUGGGAUGAUCAUGUCGCUGACUUCUUCUGAUGUUAAUUUGGAGAUGCAAUGCGUUUAAGAUUAAUUUAGUUCUUCUGAUGAUCAUGUCGGAAAAACAUAAAUGCAGUGUACCCUCGAACCCGACAUCUGGAGAAGAUUAAGAGAACCCAUAGAAAAGCCUUGGAACUCAUCGAAUUUUUAGCCCGCGAACCGAGAAACAUGGAGUUCUACGUGCUGGGAAGCAAACAAGGUGACGGCGGAGCUCCUGCGGCAGGCUUUCGAGAAAGUGGUGGGCGACAAGAUCAACUUAAUGCACCAGCUGCGUCUACCAGAAGAUGGAAUGAGCCACCCUUGAUCUUGGGUGCACAAAUGGGCAUUCCCGAGUUCGUCAGUACGAUCUUACGAGUGUGUCCGCAGGCAGCUACGUACCUGGACACCGGUGGCCGAAGCGUUCUCCAAGUAGCAAUAAAGCAUGGUAACCGAGAGAUUGUGAGAACUAUACGUGAGAUGACUCGGGGGAAUAAUCCCAUACUACCAUCCUGGCUACUGUCCCGUGUCGACAAAGGGACCGGAAGAACCAUCCUACACCUUGCGUCGGCAAAUGCCCCCAAGCAUACCCAAGAUGCUCUACAAAUGCAAGAUGAAUUAAGAUGGUUUGAGGUCAAGUCCCUAACUACAUUAACUACAAAUAAAAUCUUUACAUUCUCGGAGCUGCCUACUAAAUUUGAUCGUUUUCUGACAUUUGUAUGCAGAGGGUGAGAGAUAUGGUUCCUAAGGAAUUAGUGUACAGUCGAAACGCGCAAGAGAUGACCGCAGAAGAGAUGUUUACUCUGAGUCACCAAGCUUUGCUCAAGAAUUGCAAGGAUCAACUAAUGGAAACGGGCAGGCUGUGUUCAGGGCUGGUCGCAGCUGUAGUGUUCGCGUCGAGCUUCUCAGUCCCCGGCGAUAAGGACCCAGCCACCGGCAACCCGGUUUACUUCGGUAGGGCAGCUUUUACGGUCUUCUCACACACGUACGUGUUUGGGCUUUCAUGCGCCGCGACAUCUCUGGUGUUGUUCUUAUCCCUCGCCAUGUCACCUUACAAGGAACAGCAGUUCCGUCGUAUCAUCCCAAUCAAAUACUUCUUUGCCCGCUCGUCGUUUGGGUUGGCGAUGCUGUCUUUUCUGGUGGCGUUCACCUGCAACAUCUACCUGCAGUUAUAUGGCUGGCAGAAGACGAAGUCGAAGGACUUGAUUCCAUUCAUAUUGGAGCUCACCGCCUUCCCUUUCAUCUGUUUCCUGGUGUUAUUCUUUUAUGGCUCCAAGUUCUUUUAUGGCUCCAAGUUCGGUCUAUCUUUUCUUUUUCGUUCUUGGCGUUGAGUCAACAAGCAUGAUCGUCCACAUCCUUCGAAUCUGCAGCUUCAUGAUGUACGUGGGUUAUACCUAUUACGGUAUGCCGCCUGUUCCAGUGGUGUGUGGUGGUGGUAGUCAUUGGACAGUUAAUAACUUAUGUGUACAAGCAGCGACAAAGGCAUGUGAUGUAUGGACGCUAUUUGAUUGCAACUUUAAUGUGGUUUUUUAUCUUCUAUCUUCGAUUAGAUGAUGUCUGCGCAACGGUAGACAACAGAGCUGGUCACCAAUAAUGGUGAUGGCCCUCUCUAUUGUUUUUGACGAAGUCAAUAUGACACAACUGUUGACCGGAUCUCACCCUGUAUUGUAAUGUAUACUGUCACAUGUCGAGCGACAGAUUUCCCCUAUCGCAUGCAAAUUGCAGUGAGAUGUAUGGACGUCCUUUUGGUUUCCCAGAGGUCGGCUAGAAGAUAGGCUCGAGUUUUAUUGAAUCUUCUGUGACAAAUCACAUAGUCUAUAUCGUAAAGUUUUGGCCCGCCAAAGUUUGCACAGGCAAACGAAAUGUUUGGCUUAUAGAAGCCGAUUAUUCAAGAAGCGAAGGACAUCAAUUUUGGAUUAAAAAAAUAUCAACAAAAAAAAAUCACCUUUGUAGAAAGGAAAGAAAACCCUCCUUCGCAUCAUCUAUGUAGUCAAAUAGGAAAGAUUUAAGAAAAGAUAGAAAUGGUCCGAGUGAAGAAGACAAACUAACGAGCAACAAUGCUCGUCUAUUCCAAAGACAUGCCACGAGAAUAAUGCAGCAAGAAAAAAUGAAAAGAAAAGAAAAGAAAGAAGUUUAUUUAUGAGGUGCGAAAUGUUAUGGACAUCCGAUUCACACUGUUGCAGCUGAUGGUUACCAUCCUCUUCCGAAGCCAACUUGUGCUCGGCUCCUUUGAUUCCUUUCUAUAAAGGUUAUGGACAUCCGAUUCACUCGCGCCAUUGCUGCUCGUCCUUUCCCAAUUACUUUUUAUAUAAAAUUAUUAUAUUUUAUAUAAUAAUAUAGUAAUUUUUAUAAAAAAAGUAUUCUAAAUUAUUCUAAAUAUAUUAUUAUACUAUCAUUCAAAGAAUGUGUUGAAUAUUAAUUUUUUUUAUAAAUUUAUCCAAAAUUCAUCAUAAAACUAAUCAUAAAAUUCUACAUCUCUUAUUUUCUAUUUCCUAUAUUGACUUAGUUAUACUCAAAAUUAAAAUAAAUUAAAUUCGAUUACCUAACUUAUUUUAAUAUUAAUAUAUAUAUAUAUAUAUAUAUAUAUAUAUUACUUUUAGAUAUAUUUAGGAUAAUUAAUUAUCAGAACUUUGAGAAUUCUACUGUAAUUUGAUUCUAACCAAAAAAAUACUAGUUUUUUUAUUUUAUAAUAAGUUUAUAUAAAAUUAAUAUAUCUUACUAAAUUCGAGUGUAACUUAGAUUUGGCUCUACCCAACCCGACUCGAUCCGAAAGGAUGCGCCCCAAAUCAAUUUAAUUCAGAUCCAAUCAACCAGCUAAUUAGUUAGGUUUGAAAUAGUCUCGUAUUAUGAAAAUUUUUAAAUAAAAAUAUCCUGAGCUUUUAUAUAUAUAUAUAUAUAUAUAUAUAUAUAUAUAUAUAAAGAAUCCUAUUAAACAUGAGGUAUUACAAAAAAAAUCGCUCUCCAACAACCUCCUGUCAUGUCAACUCUAGUAAAAUCCCUUUUAGCUUGAGAAAAGAAGUUCUUCGUCAAUACUAUAAUUGAGACUGCAACCGAUUCUUUGUUUUUUACUCAUUUUCUUUUGGUUCGUUUUCAUGUCAGUGUCAAGCUACAUGAUAGUUAAACAAGUGUUUGGUACCUUGUCUCCGUUCCACCAUGCUCUGACGUUAUCAGAUUCCCUUUCUGUGAUCUAUGUAUCUUUUUGUCAUAAGACGUGAGACUGUCAGUGAUAUGUUGGAAGAAACUAUUAAUUAUAUUUCUAUUUAUUAUUGGUUGACCGAUGGAGAUGAUUACUUUACUUGGGAUGUCAUGUUGAGGUAAUUAAAUCAUGCCAACGCAGAUUCGAAUAAUAAAAUUCUUUUAGCUUGUCAUUAAGCAAAAGACACCCACUCGAAGAUAACGUGAUUUGGAGCUACAAAUGAUAACAUCGAGAGCAAAAGAUUCAAUAAAGAGAUGUUGCCAUAAUCCCGGGUGCAUAAAAAGAAUCGGAGACCAACCAAAGGGUCGUCAACUCCAAAGACUUGCGAUGAACAUGAUCUACAAAACCUUUUCUAUAAGGUGCAAGUGGAGGUUUGGGUGCAAGCUUCCGGAUUAUUGUUUCCUGUAGAGCAAGAAUCGUUGACCCUCGCAUGGCCAUCCACGUUUAUGGCAUGUAGGUGCUGUCUAGCUUUAACGUAUGUGAAUUAUUCAUUAGUAGGUUGGCCUCACUAACGUACGAUUAAUUUGUUGUCGAAUCUUUUGUGAGUGAGAUGGAGAGUGCUUAAUUUGUUGUGAAAGAAAAAACAAUAAUGAGAAAACUAGCACAGAAGAAAACGCAAGUUGAAAGCUCAUCUGGAGAGUUCUUCAUGGCAGUGCCACUUUAAGAGGGGAUAUGAGUUGGAAGGGGUCCAAAGGGGAUCUGUACUAAACUUGGAACUGUUUAGCUGGUUUGAGCAAAGAAUCCGACGCCAUUUUCCGACUCUAAGCGACGCCAAUCGACUGAGAAGGAGGGAGGCGUACGACGAUGGAUGAGAGCCAAAAGGAUCAGCUAAUCUUGUUGUUAAGGCAGUCCUUUCAGGUUGCUUUAAUUUUGGUGUAGGCAUCUGGCGGCGAAGGCGUACUUACCAUAUAGCAACUGCAUGCUAUGGGGGAUCCCGCCGCUCUUGCCAAUACGGAUUCCAUUCACGACGGCACAGAGGAUGCUGAUCCACUGCAUGUGCUCAACAGGAGACAUUUUCUCGCGGUGAAGUCUCAUUUCCGUCAGAGGAAGCACGAGGCACUCUUGGCUCUAGCCGUGGAAGAUCCUGGUCGCCCGGUGAACCUCAUGAACGACACUUUGCUCCACGUCGUCAUAGCUUGCAACAAGACCGACCUCGCCAAAAGUAUUAUCUUGCAGAUGCCAGUGGAGACCCUCGCGGCCAAGAAUUUGUACGGCGACACGGCUCUUCAUGUCGCUGCCGCCGUGGGUAACAGCGAGGUGGCCAGGGAGCUGUUCGGCAAGAGAGAAGAUCUCAUCGGAGAACAGAACUUGAAGCAGGAGACACCACUGCACAAAGCGGCGUUCUACGGGCAUCAUGACAUGUUCUGGUGCCUGGUGGACGAGGGGAAUGGCUCCCCGUACGAGCGGAGGGAGGACGGCGCCACCAUGCUGCAUUGUGCCAUCAUGGGCAACGAGCCGGGUAAGCGAUCAUCACCAGUUUCGUUGGCCAGCUGCCUUUAUCUUGUUUUUAUCCUAUCCUAUUUAUUUGAAUUGUUAUAUGUGGAUCAUACUGCUUCCGCAUCUUUGGCGUGAUCAAGGUGAGUGAGUAUCGAUGCAGGGCUGGCACUGGAGAUUGCAGAGCAUUUUCCAUUGCUGAUCACGUCGCGGAAUACUAUGGCGGUGACCCCGUUGCAGCUGAUGGUGACCGUUCCGGGGUUAUUCCGAAGCCAAAUGGAACUUGGCGGCUUCGAGUCCAUCCUCCAUGACUGUAAGUGCUGCCCGCCUCUUCCUUCAUCGCCCCCGGCGCCCCGCCCUCCCCCCUGCUUCUCUAUUUCUUUCACUACAUUUCCUACCAACGACUACCUUAAUUUAGCGAUCGUUCGACGUCCAAAUUUAUCGAGAAUUUACCUAAGGGUGUUUUUUUCUCAUUAUCGGAACACAUAUACCCUUGAUUUUUUGGAUUUAUUGUAUGGUUUUGUGUUAAACCGAAUCAAAUCUAACCGGUCGAGUCUGAUUUGAUCUCUGUUCUUUAUUCUUUCACAUGUCUUUCUCCUCCUUCCCUCAAUUCCCCCUUUUGUUGUCACCCUUUCACCCUUAAUUCUUUCUUCUUCAAGGAGGAGAGGAGGAGUAGGCGGAGGAGGAGAAGAGGAAGCGACAGAAGGUUGACCGCUUCAUCGAACCGGUUCGCUCAUUCAAACUGUUUUAGUAAAUCAUUUCAAAAAGUUUGAAACGAAAUUAAUUGGAAUAGGAGGAUAAAGUUAGAAUUUACCAAAAAAAAUUCCUAAAUAAUUUUUGAAUAGAGGGGAGUGAUAGAAAACAAUUACUAAUAAUCUUUUNNNNNNNNNNNNNNNNNNNNUAUAUAUAUAUAUAUAUAUAUAUAUAUAUAUAUAUAUAUAUAUAAUCUAAUCUAACAGAAUAAUUGACUUAUUAACUUCAGGAUCAUUGAUCUGAAUAAUUAAGUUUAAAUUAAUAAUAAUACACUUAUCAAAUCUCUAUAAAUUAAUCUUAGUAUUUGUCUACUUUUAAUUUUCGAUGUGAAGUAAAAUUAUAAUUGUUCUGAGAAAAAUAUAGUUAUGAUGAAACUUAAACAUCAAGCAUUUUGAUUUUACAUUUCAGUUAUUCCUUUGGAGAAGGACUCACACAGGACUCGUCGAAGAGAUGAAGAGGAGGCAGGUGGAAGCUCCAACGAUGCCGGUGUAAGUGAUUCAAAUCAUCAACAUCUUUUCCAUCACAAUAUCAAUAGUCCACUAUUGUCUCUUAUUUGUUUCUCACUUUGGCGUUUACAUAUAUAUAAUCUCAAGCAAGCUGAAGCCGCAGAGCAAGAUGACCACGAAUAUUUCGGGAGGCAUAGAACAAUUCGUUCAAGAUUUCCAUCUUGCUGCUGUACUCUCGUUGACAUAUUAGUCUUCCCAGGCACUCCUACUAGCUUCUCUGUCUACAAUUUUUGUAGUCAUCCAACUUCUGUUUCAUUACACUGAUGUAUUCCUUUUUGUGCUUGCAGUCAAAUGGGUUCGUCUGUUUCUUUUCUUCAUUAUAAGGACUUGUGAGUAACUGUUCCCAAACAGUACAUUGAUGAUGUUAAGAGCCAUGUCCUACUGUUUCAUUACGAGUUCUAGCAAAUUAGGAAAGUACUAUAGAAAAGGCUUCUUGUAAUUUAGUUCUCCAAAACAAAGUAGUUUACAUGAUGGAUAAUUAUAGCUUAUUUGCGGAAACACAUAAAUGGGAUGAUCAUGUCGCUGACUUCUUCUGAUGUUAAUUUGGAGAUGCAAUGCGUUUAAGAUUAAUUUAGUUCUUCUGAUGAUCAUGUCGGAAAAACAUAAAUGCAGUGUACCCUCGAACCCGACAUCUGGAGAAGAUUAAGAGAACCCAUAGAAAAGCCUUGGAACUCAUCGAAUUUUUAGCCCGCGACCCGAGAAACAUGGAGUUCUACGUGCUGGGAAGAAUGCAAGGUGACGGCGGAGCUCCUGCGGCAGGCUUUCGAGAAAGAGGUGGACGACAAGAUCAACUUAAUGCACCAGCUGCGUCUACGAGAAGAUGGAACGAGCCACCCUUGAUCUUGGGUGCACAAAUGGGCAUUCCCGAGUUCGUCAGUACCAUCUUACGAGUGUGUCCGGAGGCAGCUACCUACCUGGACACCCGUGGCCGAAGCGUUCUCCAAGUAGCAAUAGAGCAUGGUAACCGAGAGAUUGUGAGAACUAUACGUGAGAUGACUCAGGGGAAGAAUCCCAUACUACCAUCCUGGCUACUGUCCCGCGUCGACAAAGGGACCGGAAGAACCAUCCUGCACUUUGCUUCGGCAAAUGCCCCUGAGCAUAACCAAGAUGCUCUACAAAUGCAAGAUGAAUUAAGAUGGUUUGAGGUCAAGUCCCUAACUACAUUAACUAGAAAUAAAAUAUUUAUAUUCUCGGAGUUGCCUACUGAAUUUGAUCGUUUUCUGACAUUUGAAUGCAGACGGUGAGAGAUAUGGUUCCUAAGGAAUUAGUGUACAGUCGAAACGCGCAAGAGAUGACCGCAGAAGAGAUGUUUACCAAGAGUCACCAAGCUUUGCUCAAGAGUUGCAAGGUUCAACUAAUGGAAACGGGAAGGUUGUGUUCGGGGCUGAUCGCAGCUGUAGUGUUCGCGUCGAGCUUCUCCAUCCCCGGCGAUAAGGACCCAGCGACCGGCAACCCGGUUUACUUCGGUAGGGCAGCUUUUAAGGUCUUCUCACAUGCGUACGUGAUUGGGUUGUCAUGCGCCGCCACAUCUCUGGUGUUGUUCUUAUCCCUCGCCAUGUCACCGAACAAGGAGCAGCAGUUCCGUCGUAUAAUCCCCACCAAAUACUUCUUUGCCCGCUCGUCGUUUGGGUUUGCGAUGCUGUCUUUUCUGGUGGCGUUCACCUGCAACAUCUACCUACAGUUAUAUGGCUGGCAGAAGACGAAGUCGAAGGACUUGAUUCCAUUCGUAUUGGAGCUCACCGUCUUCCCUGUUAACUGUUUCCUGGUGUUGUUCUUUCGUGGCUUCACCUUCGAUAUACCUUUCCUUUUUCGUUCUUGGCGUUGAGUCAACAAGUAU
rnacentral:lncRNA from 1 species